UUCGUAGCUCAGUUGGUAGAGCAGUUGACUCUUAAUCAAUUGGUCGGGGGUUCGAGUCCCCCCGGACC
rnacentral:tRNA from 1 species